GAAGCUGACCAGACAGUCGCCGCUUCGUCGUCGUCCUUUCGGGGAGACGGGCGGAGGGGAGGAAAGUCCGGGCUCCAUAGGGCAGGGUGCCAGGUAACGCCUGGGGGGGAAACCCACGACCAGUGCAACAGAGAGCAGACCGCCGAUGGCCCACGUAAGUGGGAUCAGGUAAGGGUGAAAGGGUGCGGUAAGAGCGCACCGCGCGGCUGGUAACAGUCCGUGGCACGGUAAACUCCACCCGGAGCAAGGCCAAAUAGGGGUUCAUAAGGUACGGCCCGUACUGAACCCGGGUAGGCUGCUUGAGCCAGUGAGCGAUUGCUGGCCUAGAUGAAUGACUGUCCACGACAGAACCCGGCUUAUCGGUCAGUUUCACUU
rnacentral:RNase_P_RNA from 51 species